CCUACGGGUGGCAGCAGUGGGGAAUAUUGCACAAUGGGGGGAACCCUGAUGCAGCGACGCCGCGUGGGUGAAGGAGUAUUUCGGUAUGUAAAGCCCUAUCAGCAGGGAAGAACAAUGACGGUACCUGACUAAGAAGCACCGGCCAAAUACGUGCCAGCAGCCGCGGUAAUACGCAGGGUGCAAGCGUUAUCCGGAUUUACUGGGGGUAAAGGGAGCGCAGGCGGCGCGUUAAGCCUGGUGUGAAAGCCCGCGGCCCAACCGCGGGACUGCAUUGGAAACUGGCGGGCUGGAGUGCCGGAGGGGUAGGCGGAAUGCCUGGUGUAGCGGUGAAAUGCAUAGAUAUUAGGAAGAACACCAGUGGCGAAGGCGGCCUACUGGCCGGAGACUGACGCUGAGGCUCGAAAGCGUGGGGAGCGAACAGGAUUAGAUACCCGAGUAGUC
rnacentral:rRNA from 1 species